UACGUAGGGUCCGAGCGUUGUCCGGAUUGACUGGGCGUAAAGCGCGCGCAGGCGGCCUGCGAGGUGUCACGUGAAAGCCCCGUGCUCAACGCGGGAGGGUCGUGGCAAACCGGUAGGCUUGAGGCCGGUAGAGGUGGGUGGAACUCCUGGUGGAGUGGUGAAAUGCGUAGAGAUCAGGAAGAACACCCGUGGCGAAGGCGGCCCACUGGGCCGGACCUGACGCUGAGGCGCGAAAGCCAGGGGAGCGAACGGG
rnacentral:rRNA from 1 species